UACAGAGGUCUCAAACGUUGUUCGGAUUCAUUGGGCGUAAAGGGUGCGUAGGCGGCGCGGUAAGUCGGGUGUGAAAUCUUGGAGCUUAACUCCGAAACUGCAUUCGAUACUGCCGUGCUUGAGGACUGGAGAGGAGACUGGAAUUUACGGUGUAGCGGUGAAAUGCGCAGAUAUCAGGAAGAACACCCGUGGCUAAGGCGGCUCUCUAGUACGGUACUGACGCUGAGACGCGAAAGCGUGGGGAGCGAACAGG
rnacentral:rRNA from 1 species